rnacentral:misc_RNA from 1 species
UUUCAAAAAAAAAAUCUUAUUUAGGCUUAAUUUAUCAAAAUCUAAAACACAAAACACGAUACAUAUAGUGAGACCCCCCACUUCACAAAGGCAUAAGAUUUAGAAGUAAUGAUUACAAAAAAGACAUCCACAAGAUGCAAACAAAAACUCAAAUGAGGAGAAAGAAACUGCAAAAAAAAGGUUUUUGCAUCUAUUCUGCAUUAAACUCUACUACUUAUAUAGUGUGUAUCUCUAUCACAUCAUCUCCCUCAUCGUCUGCUAUUAAUAAAUUAUCAAGCGGGGGCAUAAGAUCCGACUCGUUCACUGUUCUAAUUCUUUCUUUAAUCUCAUCAAGCUCAGUUUGCACAGUUGAUAAUUUCAACAUUAGCUCGGAUUUUUCUCUUUCCCAAACACUCCUAUCAUUUUCAUGUCUCUGUUCGAUUUCAUCCAGUCUUCCUUGUAGUCGAGCACACUCAUUACGAAUGAGAUUUAGUUCAUCUGUAUGUCUAUCACCAGUCGGAGCUGGCUCAUCCCACCAACGGAAAAAUCCACAUUGAAAAUUAUAGCUCCCGGGGCAGUUAUAGAACAAUCGAAAAGGAUUUCUGGGUGUUUGAGACACUCGCAAUUUAGCAGGAAGUCCACAUGAGCACCUCACUUCAGAGUCUUCAUGGUAACUGAGCUCAGAGUACUCAGAGUCAGAGUGACUUGACUCAGAAUCGACAGCUUCAAAGAAGCCCAUGUAAGAAUUAUCAGAGGUACUCAUAAUGUAAAAGCGAUUCCGGGAUUUUAGAACAGAUUGGAAAAAUAUGAUAGCCCCAAGCAAAAAGAGGAAGACAGAGAAAAAGAGCAUAAGCAUUGAGAGUGUGCGUAUAUCAAUUAUCCUCGUGCAACUUCGCUGAGAAGGGAAUUUGAGAGGGGGGUCAAUGGCCCCACCAAGACAUUACUCUGAAAUUG